rnacentral:sRNA from 1 species
AUCCUCACUGACACAUCUCUCCAGUCCCUUGCUACAAGUCUCUGAAAAGAAAACUAGUUAAAUCUAUUACCUGUUAAAUAAGACAUAGAUACUUGUGUCUGAGUUCGCAGCUUCAAGCAUGCCGGACAAGUAUCUCUACCAGCUGGGCUACACUGCAAGUCGGACCAAUAAACCUCAACAGACUACGAAAUGAUGAAAAUUCAAACACCUAUUAGUGACAUGCACUUGAAUUCUUACCGCUUAUAAGAGUUGAAGAAAGUUUAUAAAGUCACGUCUCCUGUAGCAUAAGAAUGCAGUGAUUCAAGCACACUUGAUUUUUUUUUACUUUAUUUAUCAAGAAAUCUUUUCAAAAAAUUCAAAAGUAUUUGUGAACAGCUCCUGACCUCUCUCAUGUGCCAAGCUGUGAUCUAAGAGUUGUGAACUCACAGGCAAAUGAUGACUACCUUCUAUACUGCCACAGUCCAAUGACGUCACAGUUCAGUGAGGUCACAGUCUAGUGAGGUCACAGUCCAGUGAGGUCACAGUCCAGUGAGGUCACAGUCCAGUGAAGUCACAGUUCAAUGAGGUCACAGUUCAGUGAGGUCACAGUCCAGUGAGGUCACAGUCCAGUGAGCUCACAGUCCAGUGAGGUCACAGUCCAGUGAGGUCACAGUCCAGUGAGGUCACAGUUCAAUGAGGUCACAGUCCAGUGAGGUCACAGUCCAAUGACGUCACAGUUCGGUGAGGUCAUAGUCCAGUGAGGUCACAGUCCAGUGAGGUCAUAGUCCAGUGAGGUCACAGUCCAGUGAGGUCACAGUCCAAUGAGGUCACAGUUCAGUGAGGUCACAGUCUAGUGAGGUCACAGUCCAGUGAGGUCACAGUCCAGUGAGGUCACAGUCCAGUGAGGUCAUAGUCCAGUGAGGUCACAGUCCAGUGAGGUCACAGUCCACUGAGGUCACAGUCCAGUGAGGUCACAGUCCAGUGAGGUCACAGUCCAGUGAGGUCACAGUCCAGUGAAGUCACAGUUCAAUGAGGUCACAGUUCAGUGAGGUCACAGUCCAGUGAGGUCACAGUCCAGUGAGCUCACAGUCCAGUGAGGUCACAGUCCAGUGAGGUCACAGUCCAGUGAGGUCACAGUUCAAUGAGGUCACAGUCCAGUGAGGUCACAGUCCAAUGACGUCACAGUUCGGUGAGGUCAUAGUCCAGUGAGGUCACAGUCCAGUGAGGUCAUAGUCCAGUGAGGUCACAGUCCAGUGAGGUCACAGUCCAAUGAGGUCACAGUUCAGUGAGGUCACAGUCUAGUGAGGUCACAGUCCAGUGAGGUCACAGUCCAGUGAGGUCACAGUCCAGUGAGGUCAUAGUCCAGUGAGGUCACAGUCCAGUGAGGUCACAGUCCACUGAGGUCACAGUCCAGUGAGGUCACAGUCCAGUGAGGUCACAGUCCACUGAGGUCACAGUCCAGUGAGGUCACAGUGGUAGAGAGAGGAUGAAGAUGACCUGGACCAAGGUAAGAUGGACGAACCGAGCGGGUAAAGCCUCAGUGUGGGGAAGAUGACCACAUGGGGGCACCAACCAAAGCGUGUUCUAUGUACCUGACUGCAGUAACUCCAUCCAUAAACACCUUCAACCAAACAAAGCAACACACAGAAACGUGUGCCGGGAAGGAGAGCGCGUGGAGCUGUGAGGAGACGGGUUCUUGUGCUGUCCUCCAAUGCUCUCUGUCUCUGUCUCUGUCUCUGUCUCUCUGAAACUUCUGCUCAAGUGAUUCCCCACCCAUCAAGGGAGAGAGUCAAGGAGACUCAGCACAUUUAACACAAAAAGGGUGGUUGUACAGUAGAGUUGCGCCAUUUGUGACCCAGACUGUGGGUUGCAGGUAUGACAGAUCUGAGGAACAUAAAUGCCGCGUAACACAGUCAAUUACAAGAAUACUUAGAAAUGACAAGGAUUCACAGAGUUUCUAGCAGGGUUCAAAUGCUGAAGACGUCACUAAUUAAGUCUAAUUAACCUCUACAGGGCAGGGGCGGUUACCCUUCUCCCUUCACAGCUAAGGGGUUUAAGGGUCAGCUAAGUUAACAUAUGCCACAGAGAGAGAGAGAGAGAGA